UACGGAGGGUGCAAGCGUUGUUCGGAAUCACUGGGCCUAAAGGGCGUGUAGGCGGUCCGCUAAGUCUGAUGUGAAAGCCCGAGGCUUACCCUCGGAAGUGCAUUGGAGACUGGCGGACUGGAGUCCCGGAGAGGAGGGUGGAAUUCCUGGUGUAGCGGUGAAAUGCGUAGAUAUCAGGAGGAACACCGGUGGCGAAGGCGGCCCUCUGGACGGUGACUGACGCUGAGACGCGAAAGCGUGGGGAGCGAACAGG
rnacentral:rRNA from 1 species